AACGCACCUUGCGCUCCUUGGUAUUCCGAGGAGCAUGCCUGUUUGAGUGUCAUGUAAUCAUCAAACCCCCCUUCCGUUUUGUAAUAAAAGCGGGUCGGACGGUUUGGACUUGGAGGUUAUUAAAUGUUGGCUUUCACGAGUCGACUCCUCUUGAAAACAUUAGUCGGGACUUCGGUCGCUCCGUCGCGGUACGCGGUGUGAUAAUUUAUUCACCCAUCGGUAAACCCGCUUCUUGCGUCCGGCUGGCUUCUAACUCCUGUUUUUUUUUGCGACUCUUUACUGAGUUUUGUAAAAGAAACCAUUUGACAAUCUGGCCUCAAAUCAGGUAGGACUACCCGCUGAACUUAA
rnacentral:misc_RNA from 1 species